rnacentral:rRNA from 1 species
CCGCCGGCGACCGGCGCACGGGUGAGUAACACGUAUGCAACCUGGCCGUGACAGAUGGAUAACCGGGAGAAAUCCCGCCUAAUACAACAUGAUGCCGGGAGGGGACAUCCCCUGCCGGUCAAAGGGGGCGACCCCGGUCACGGAUGGGCAUGCGACGCAUUAGGUAGUUGGUGGGGCAACGGCCCACCAAGCCGACGAUGCGUAGGGGUUCUGAGGGGAAGGUCCCCCACAUUGGAACUGAGACACGGUCCAAACUCCUACGGAAGGCAGCAG